AGAAAGCUUCUGAAUUUCAAGCAGAAAGUGGAAGGAGCUCCACAGAGCAAUAUCUUGGGCUGCGUGUGCAGAGCGCAGACAAUGAAAAUCUCCGCCCCCUCCCCCAUGCUCUCUAGUCUACAAGAUUUUUUUCUUUCCUUCACAACGAUGGAAGCUAUGUAAAAUCAAAUACACAGAGAUGUACAUACUUUUUUUUUUUUUAAAGCACAGACUAACAAACCAAAGGACCUGACCAUGGAUUAUUCAAGGACGCACCUGCUGGGGAGCGCUCUGGGGUCUCCGCACAAAACCUGCUUUUGAGCCCUUUGGCUUUCUUCAAGCGAGCGCAGUCCGUCCAUCCCCCCUGGCCCACCCAGCCGCAAGGGAUGCUGUGAAAAGAGCCGCUGCUUGCCGCCUCCGGCCUGCCGUCCAGAGGGCUCCGCCCGUAGAGGUCAACUCCCCUCAUUCUUCUUCUUUCCAUCUUGCCCUCCCUCCGCCGAGCCCAGACUCGGAUCUCCUCCUGACUCCCGCCGCAGUCAGAGAGAGCGCAUCUGCUGCGCUGCCCUUAAAUCUACGCCCAGAGCGGGCUCAGACCGAUCUCUGCUCUCCAGAGCCGGAGGAAGCCCGAGCAAGCAGCCUUUUCUCUUCGCAGUAAAAUCAUAGCCAGACCAGAUGGGCCCCAGCUCUCCCGGGACUCGGCAGGCUUAUAUGGAAUAAAAUAAUGUAUAACUGUAUUACUUCAGCACCAUGAAUUUAGAAGUUCCAGCAUAUUGUGAAGCAGACACAUCUUUGCUAUGAAAACUGACUCACUACAUCAGUGCUGGUAUAAUAAAAUGCUUCUAAUGAUGUAGUUGUUAAAUUUUCUAAAAUAAAGAUCAGUUUAUUUUGUGAUGGCACAAUGAAAGAGAUGUUUAAUUUUUACCAGAUUUUAAAAUAAAGCUCUUAAAAAUAUUAAGCUAAAAUUAAAAAAAAUAUGAUUUUACAAUUUGUUUUGUGUGUGGGGGGGCUAACUCUUGAUUACAUGUUAAAUCAACUUAAAUAUUUAACAAAGCUUGUCAAGUUCCAUAUAAGAUCAGUAUGUUUGUCUUCUGAACCCUGGUUUUGCACAGCAAGCAUUAGCAAUUCAUAAGAAAUUAAAUGAAGAAAAGAAAACUGUUAUGAUUCCUAAUAAUAACUG
rnacentral:lncRNA from 1 species